CAGUCGCCGCGGUAAUACGAAGGGGGCUAGCGUUGCUCGGAAUGACUGGGCGUAAAGGGCGCGUAGGCGGCGAUCAAAGUCAGGCGUGAAAUUCCUGGGCUCAACCUGGGGGCUGCGCUUGAUACUUGGUUGCUUGAGUGGGGAAGAGGGUCGUGGAAUUCCCAGUGUAGAGGUGAAAUGCGUAGAUAUCGGAAGGAACACCUGUGGCGAAAGCGGCUCACUGGACACUAACUGACGCUGAGGCACGAAAGCUAGGGGAGCAAACAGGAUUAGAUACCCCAGUAGUCCCUGUCUCUUAUAC
rnacentral:rRNA from 1 species